rnacentral:rRNA from 1 species
UACGUAGGGGGCGAGCGUUGUCCGGAAUUACUGGGCGUAAAGGGUGCGUAGGCGGCCCUUUAAGUCAGAUGUGAAAGGCCACGGCUUAACCGUGGAACUGCAUUUGAAACUGGAGGGCUUGAGUGUCGGAGAGGGUAGUGGAAUUCCCAGUGUAGCGGUGAAAUGCGUAGAUAUUGGGAGGAACACCAGUGGCGAAGGCGACUACCUGGACGAUAACUGACGCUGAGGCACGAAAGCGUGGGGAGCAAACAGG